rnacentral:rRNA from 1 species
GAUGAACGCUGGCGGCGUGCCUAAUACAUGCAAGUCGAGCGAACAGACGAGGAGCUUGCUCCUCUGACGUUAGCGGCGGGCGGGUGAGUAACACGUGGAUAACCUACCUAUAAGACUGGGAUAACUUCGGGAAACCGGAGCUAAUACCGGAUAAUAUAUUGAACCGCAUGGUUCAAUAGUGAAAGACGGUUUUGCUGUCACUUAUAGAUGGAUCCGCGCCGCAUUAGCUAGUUGGUAAGGUAACGGCUUACCAAGGCAACGAUGCGUAGCCGACGUGAGAGGGUGAUCGGCCACACUGGAACUGAGACACGGUCCAGACUCCUACGGGAGGCAGCAGUAGGGAAUCUUCCGCAAUGGGCGAAAGCCUGACGGAGCAACGCCGCGUGAGUGAUGAAGGUCUUCGGAUCGUAAAACUCUGUUAUUAGGGAAGAACAAAUGUGUAAGUAACUAUGCACGUCUUGACGGUACCUAAUCAGAAAGCCACGGCUAACUACGUG